UGGGCCGUCAAAGUACACAGCAAUCAGCAAUUUUUUUAAAUUUUGCUGUUGUCAGCAAUUAACACAUGACUAAAGAUGAAAAUGAGGCUGCUAUCUUGUUUAUGAUAGAUUCUACUUUCCUUCGAAAAACGUCGGAGAAAGUUAAAUUCAAUUCAACUUUUACUCGGAACGGAACAGAAAAGAU